CCUACGGGAUGCAGCAGUGAGGAAUAUUGGUCAAUGGACGAGAGUCUGAACCAGCCAAGUAGCGUGAAGGAUGACUGCCCUAUGGGUUGUAAACUUCUUUUAUAUGGGAAUAAAACGUUCCACGUGUGGGAUUUUGUAUGUACCAUAUGAAUAAGGAUCGGCUAACUCCGUGCCAGCCGCCGCGGUAAUACGGGGGAUCCGAGCGUUAUCCGGAUUUAUUGGGGUUAAAGGGAGCGUAGGUGGAUUGUUAAGUCAGUUGUGAAAGUUUGCGGCUCAACCGUAAAAUUGCAGUUGAAACUGGCAGUCUUGAGUACAGUAGAGGUGGGCGGAAUUCGUGGUGUAGCGGUGAAAUGCUUAGAUAUCACGAAGAACUCCGAUUGCGAAGGCAGCUCACUGGACGGCAACUGACACUGAGGCUCGAAAGUGUGGGUAUCAAACAGGAUUAGAUACCCUGGUAGUC
rnacentral:rRNA from 1 species